UGCAAGUCGAACGAACUCUGGUAUUGAUUGGUGCUUGCAUCAUGAUUUACAUUUGAGUGAGUGGCGAACUGGUGAGUAACACGUGGGAAACCUGCCCAGAAGCGGGGGAUAACACCUGGAAACAGAUGCUAAUACCGCAUAACAACUUGGACCGCAUGGUCCGAGUUUGAAAGAUGGCUUCGGCUAUCACUUUUGGAUGGUCCCGCGGCGUAUUAGCUAGAUGGUGAGGUAACGGCUCACCAUGGCAAUGAUACGUAGCCGACCUGAGAGGGUAAUCGGCCACAUUGGGACUGAGACACGGCCCAAACUCCUACGGGAGGCAGCAGUAGGGAAUCUUCCACAAUGGACGAAAGUCUGAUGGAGCAACGCCGCGUGAGUGAAGAAGGGUUUCGGCUCGUAAAACUCUGUUGUUAAAGAAGAACAUAUCUGAGAGUAACUGUUCAGGUAUUGACGGUAUUUAACCAGAAAGCCACGGCUAACUACGUGCCAGCAGCCGCGGUAAUACGUAGGUGGCAAGCGUUGUCCGGAUUUAUUGGGCGUAAAGCGAGCGCAGGCGGUUUUUUAAGUCUGAUGUGAAAGCCUUCGGCUCAACCGAAGAAGUGCAUCGGAAACUGGGAAACUUGAGUGCAGAAGAGGACAGUGGAACUCCAUGUGUAGCGGUGAAAUGCGUAGAUAUAUGGAAGAACACCAGUGGCGAAGGCGGCUGUCUGGUCUGUAACUGACGCUGAGGCUCGAAAGUAUGGGUAGCAAACAGGAUUAGAUACCCUGGUAGUCCAUACCGUAAACGAUGAAUGCUAAGUGUUGGAGGGUUUCCGCCCUUCAGUGCUGCAGCUAACGCAUUAAGCAUUCCGCCUGGGGAGUACGGCCGCAAGGCUGAAACUCAAAGGAAUUGACGGGGGCCCGCACAAGCGGUGGAGCAUGUGGUUUAAUUCGAAGCUACGCGAAGAACCUUACCAGGUCUUGACAUACUAUGCAAAUCUAAGAGAUUAGACGUUCCCUUCGGGGACAUGGAUACAGGUGGUGCAUGGUUGUCGUCAGCUCGUGUCGUGAGAUGUUGGGUUAAGUCCCGCAACGAGCGCAACCCUUAUUAUCAGUUGCCAGCAUUAAGUUGGGCACUCUGGUGAGACUGCCGGUGACAAACCGGAGGAAGGUGGGGAUGACGUCAAAUCAUCAUGCCCCUUAUGACCUGGGCUACACACGUGCUACAAUGGAUGGUACAACGAGUUGCGAACUCGCGAGAGUAAGCUAAUCUCUUAAAGCCAUUCUCAGUUCGGAUUGUAGGCUGCAACUCGCCUACAUGAAGUCGGAAUCGCUAGUAAUCGCGGAUCAGCAUGCCGCGGUGAAUACGUUCCCGGGCCUUGUACACACCGCCCGUCACACCAUGAGAGUUUGUAACACCCAAAGUCGGUGGGGUAACCUUUUAGGAACCAGCCGCCUAAGGUGGGACAGAUGAUUAGGG
rnacentral:rRNA from 4 species